AGAGUUUGAUCCUGGCUCAGGAUGAACGCUAGCGACAGGCUUAACACAUGCAAGUCGAGGGGCAGCGGGGUAGUGCUUGCACUACUGCCGGCGACCGGCGCACGGGUGAGUAACACGUAUGGAACCUGCCCGCAGCAGGGGGAUAAGCGGAAGAAAUUCCGUCUAAUACCGCGUAAGAACGUUGGGAGGCAUCUCCCGAUGUUUAAAGAUUUAUCGGCUGCGGAUGGGCAUGCGGCGCAUUAGGCAGUAGGCGGGGUAACGGCCCACCUAACCGACGAUGCGUAGGGGUUCUGAGAGGAAGGUCCCCCACACUGGUACUGAGACACGGACCAGACUCCUACGGGAGGCAGCAGUGAGGAAUAUUGGUCAAUGGUCGGGAGACUGAACCAGCCAAGCCGCGUGAGGGAGGAAGGUACAGAGUAUCGUAAACCUCUUUUGUCAGGGAACAAAGGCGGGGACGUGUCCCCGGAUGAGUGUACCUGAAGAAAAAGCAUCGGCUAACUCCGUGCCAGCAGCCGCGGUAAUACGGAGGAUGCGAGCGUUAUCCGGAUUUAUUGGGUUUAAAGGGUGCGCAGGCGGUCUGUUAAGUCAGCGGUCAAAGCCCGGGGCUCAACCCCGGCCCGCCGUUGAAACUGGCAGUCUCGAGUUGGAGAGAAGUAUGCGGAAUGCGCGGUGUAGCGGUGAAAUGCAUAGAUAUCGCGCAGAACUCCGAUUGCGAAGGCAGCAUGCCGGCUCCACACUGACGCUGAGGCACGAAAGCGUGGGUAUCGAACAGGAUUAGAUACCCUGGUAGUCCACGCAGUAAACGAUGAAUGCUGGCUGUCCGGGGGGAUUGACCCCUGGGUGGCGAAGCGAAAGCGAUAAGCAUUCCACCUGGGGAGUACGCCGGCAACGGUGAAACUCAAAGGAAUUGACGGGGGCCCGCACAAGCGGAGGAACAUGUGGUUUAAUUCGAUGAUACGCGAGGAACCUUACCCGGGCUCAAACGGGGAGUGACUCAGGCAGAGACGCCUGUUUCCCACGGGACACUCCCCGAGGUGCUGCAUGGUUGUCGUCAGCUCGCGCCGUGAGGUGUCGGCUUAAGUGCCAUAACGAGCGCAACCCCCGCGUGCAGUUGCUAACAGAUAACGCUGAGGACUCUGCACGGACUGCCGGCGCAAGCCGCGAGGAAGGCGGGGAUGACGUCAAAUCAGCACGGCCCUUACGUCCGGGGCGACACACGUGUUACAAUGGGUGGUACAGCAGGAAGCCAGGCGGCGACGCCGAGCGGAACCCGAAAUCCACUCUCAGUUCGGAUCGGAGUCUGCAACCCGACUCCGUGAAGCUGGAUUCGCUAGUAAUCGCGCAUCAGCCAUGGCGCGGUGAAUACGAUCCCGGGCCUUGCACACACCGCCCGUCA
rnacentral:rRNA from 1 species